CCCCCCCCCCCCUCUUUGUAGAAGGCACUGUCCCCCGGCCCCUCCUCUCGGGGCGGUGCCGGGGGCUGUCGGGGCCGUGCCCCUUGCUGCCAGAGCCCGCCUUCCUCCUCUUUCAUUAACCCGGGCCCCGCCUGACCCGUGCCCCUCCUUUGCGGGGCUGCGGGAGGAGGGGCUGCGGCCUGGCCCGAGCCCGCGCCCAGCACAGCCGGGACCGAUCCCGCCCGCAUGGCCGGCGUCACCAGGUCCAUCUCUGAUUCCUCUGGACUUUUAUAUAAGGGUUCUUGGCUCUGAUAUCCCUGGACCUGCGUUGGACCUUUCCAGAGCUGUUGGCCUCAGUCCAGGGACUUUCCAGAUGCCUUGCCCUCCUGCCUGGCUCGCCAAAAACUGUUGCCUUUUUGCGCUGGAACAGAGAACACACGGGUUAGGGGGAAUAAAAGGGUAUUUAUUGAAAAGGCCUCCAAGGCCACACCCCGGCAGUCACAGUGCCACAGCGUGGCCCCUGCCCUGUCCGAGUGGCUCUCAGGUGGAAGGAAAGAGAGAGAGGUCACAUGAUUUUACACUUCUUAUAAGCUCUGGCCAUCCAAUCAACAGUUUCAAUUUGUAGGAUGUCAUUUCCCUUUUCUCCUGGCCAAAUCGUCCUCUUCUCAUAUUGUUUAUACUCAAGGCCUGGAGCCUAAAGACAACUGUCCUUGAAGUCCAUAGCUGGCAUCAGACUGCUGCGUCUUCCCCACUCCAAGCACCACAGAGCACACUCAUGCAGAACAGA
rnacentral:lncRNA from 12 species